ACGCACGCUGGCGGCGUGCUUAACACAUGCCAGUCGAACGGAAAGGCCCUGCUUUUGUGGGGUGCUCGAGUGGCGAACGGGUGAGUAACACGUGAGUAACCUGCCCUUGACUUUGGGAUAACUUCAGGAAACUGGGGCUAAUACCGGAUAUGCGAUCCUGCUGCAUGGUGGGGGUUGGACAGUUUCGGCGGGUGGGGAUGGACUCGCGGCUUAUCUGCUUGUUGGUGGGGGAGCGGCUUACCAACGCGUUGACGGGUAGCCUGCCUGAGAGGGUGACCGGCCACAUUGGGACUGAGAUACGGCCCGGACUCCUACGGGAGGCAGCAGUGGGGAAUAUUGCACAAUGGGCGGAAGCCUGAUGCAGCAACGCCGCGUGCGGGAUGACGGCCUUCGGGUUGUAAACCGCUUUCGCCUGUGACGAAGCGUGAGUGACGGUAAUGGGUAAAGAAGCACCGGCUAACUACGUG
rnacentral:rRNA from 1 species